GAUCAAACUCCUAGCCCUGAAGCCUAAGUUGUUCGCAAAGAACAAUACGGUUUCUUGGCCGUGGCUCAGCCACCAGGGUGCGAGGCAGAAAUGCCUGCAUCUCCCGUAUUUGGAAAGGUGUUAAGGUG
rnacentral:ncRNA from 1 species